UUAAACGUGGUAGGUAAGCAGGUUUGGUGAGACGCACAAAGCUUAUAUUUUGAGUUAAUGCUGCCGUCAACUACUACUUGUCUUCUUUUGACAUUUAUUUGAGUGUUUUUUAUUGUAAGCAUUGAACUUGUAUGGAUGGAGAGAAAAUAAAUUUUUAAAUAAUUAAAUUAUUUAGAAAUUUAUUUGUAUGAAAAAUAUCGAUUAAAUUUAUUUAAUUAACUUAAUUUCAACCUAAAAAAUAUUGGUUCCUGUUACGCCCCUAACUGAACCACUAGCCGAAGUGCCACGUGUCCAUCCGAAGUGGUUCCGAAGUAAUCCGACAAACCCCAACUUGACGCGCUACGAAGCGCGGGGUAGAUCCACUGAAUCAGCCGAAGUGCCCCCUGACACCGACGCGUUAGGCACUUCGAGGUGCUCCUUUAAUAGAUCCAUCUGUCGCCCUUUCCAAAAAAUCUGUAUUAGGAUCCUCUCUGCCUCCAAGGAUUAGUUGAUGGGACGUCUUCAUAGGAUUAGUUGAUAUAAGGUAUCAACUUUAUGGCAACUCAACUCAAAAGAAUUAAUUGCCCGCCUACUCUAGACACGGCUGAUUGACCCCUAUAAGCGGACGCCUCACACUAUCAGAUGCAUGCACGUGUUUCACAUCCAACGGUGCUCCACGUCCAUAAAUACCCAAGGUUUGGCAAGGGGGAAAGGGAGGAUUACGUGGAGUAACUAUCUGUUGGCCACGUGGAGGGUUCCAUUCGCAAGGUCAAUAAAUUGGCACUAUCUGUGGGAAGGUCCUUAUCGCAUCUGCAAGGAGUCCCAACCCGUUACUUAUGAAAUUGAAGACAUGGCAGGGAAAGUGCUGCCUCAUCAGUGGAACAUUGAACACUUGAGGAAAUACUAUCAGUGAUGUGUAUGUUCUAAUCCAAUCUCUAUUUUCUCAGUCCAUUGUAACAUUCCUAAGUGCUAAAUGUUGUAAAUUAUAAUACCUCAGUUCUCCAUUAUGUUCAUAGGUUAAUAAAUUGGUACCUCACUUCUUCAGUA